rnacentral:rRNA from 1 species
CUACGGGAGGCACCAGUGAGGAAUAUUGCACAAUGGGGGGAACCCUGAUGCAGCAACGCCGCGUGGAGGACGACGCAUUUCGGUGUGUAAACUCCUUUUAUAUGUCAAGAAAAUGACGGUAGCAUAUGAAUAAGCACCGGCUAACUCCGUGCCAGCAGCCGCGGUAAUACGGAGGGUGCAAGCGUUACUCGGAAUCACUGGGCGUAAAGGACGCGUAGGCGGGUUGGAAAGUCAGGUGUGAAAUCCUACAGCUUAACUGUAGAACUGCACUUGAAACUUCUAAUCUAGAGUAUGGGAGGGGGAGAUGGAAUUAGUGGUGUAGGGGUAAAAUCCGUAGAUAUCACUAGGAAUACCUAAAGCGAAGGCGAUCUCCUGGAACAUUACUGACGCUAAGGCGUGAAAGCGUGGGGAGCAAACAGGAUUAGUUACCCCGGUAGUC